rnacentral:rRNA from 12 species
ACGGGUGAGUAAUGUAUCGGAACGUGCCCAAUCGUGGGGGAUAACGUAGAGAAAUUUACGCUAAUACCGCAUACGAUCUAAGGAUGAAAGCGGGGGAUCGCAAGACCUCGCGCGAUUGGAGCGGCUGAUAUCAGAUUAGGUUGUUGGUGAGGUAAAAGCUCACCAAGCCGACGAUCUGUAGCUGGUUUGAGAGAACGACCAGCCACACUGGGACUGAGACACGGCCCAGACUCCUACGGGAGGCAGCAGUGGGGAAUUUUGGACAAUGGGCGCAAGCCUGAUCCAGCAAUGCCGCGUGCAGGAAGAAGGCCUUCGGGUUGUAAACUGCUUUUGUACGGAACGAAACGGUUCUUUCUAAUAAAGAGAGCUAAUGACGGUACCGUAAGAAUAAGCACCGGCUAACUACGUGCCAGCAGCCGCGGUAAUACGUAGGGUGCGAGCGUUAAUCGGAAUUACUGGGCGUAAAGCGUGCGCAGGCGGUUAUGUAAGACAGUUGUGAAAUCCCCGGGCUCAACCUGGGAAUUGCAUCUGUGACUGCAUAGCUAGAGUACGGUAGAGGGGGAUGGAAUUCCGCGUGUAGCAGUGAAAUG